AAAGCUCUUUUACCCGGGAUGAUAAUGACNGUACCGGGAGAAUAAGCCCCGGCUAACUCCGUGCCAGCAGCCGCGGUAAUACGGAGGGGGCUAGCGUUGUUCGGAAUUACUGGGCGUAAAGCGCACGUANGCGGUUACUCAAGUCAGAGGUGAAAGCCCGGGGCUCAACCCCGGAACUGCCUUUGAAACUAGGUGACUAGAAUCUUGUAGAGGCGAGUGGAAUUCCGAGUGUAGAGGUGAAAUUCNUNGAUAUUCGGAAGAACACCAUUGGCGAAGGCGACUCGCUGGACAAGUAUUGACGCUGANGUGCGAAAGCGUGGGGAGCAAACAGGAUUAGAUACCCUGGUAGUCCACGCCGUAAAC
rnacentral:rRNA from 1 species